rnacentral:rRNA from 1 species
AUUGAACGCUGGCGGCAGGCCUAACACAUGCAAGUCGAGCGAGCGGCGGACGGGUGAGUAAUGUCUGGGAAACUGCCUGAUGGAGGGGGAUAACUACUGGAAACGGUAGCUAAUACCGCAUACCAUCAGAUGUGCCCAGAUGGGAUUAGCUAGUAGGUGGGGUAAUGGCUCACCUAGGCGACGAUCCCUAGCUGGUCUGAGAGGAUGACCAGGCCAACCGGGACUUGGGCACGGGCCAGAAUCCUUCGGGAGGGAGCGGGGGGGAAUAUUGCCCAAGGGGGGAAAGCCUGUGGAGGCAAGGCGGGGGGGUGGAGGAGGGCUUCCGGGUUGUAAAGACUUUCCAGCGGGGAGGCGUUACCCGCAGAAGAAGCACCGGCUAACUCCGUGCCAGCAGCCGCGGUAAUUC